GAGCUGUCCUGCCUGGACGCCCGCUGGCUCCACGACUUCCCCCAGAGGAGCUGCUGCCAGUGUCACCUGGACCCGCCGACACCACUGUGGUGCGGUCCACCUGAUCCCCUCCCUGUGCUGCGACGAGCUCUGCAGUCUGGGCCACAGCCGGAGCACCAGUCCUUUCCAGUCGCAGAUGAGCCUCAACGACAAAAAUACACACCCAUG